AAAGCUAUUAGUACUAUUGUAAAAUACUGCAAUCUAGAAGCUUCAAACAGCACAAUUCAAUGCUUCUCCAUUCACUUAAAAGCAAUUUAAAGUAGUCAAAACAGCCACCCACCUUUUCCAAAAUAAUUUCUCUCCAUCUACUGAUCCAUUCCCAAUUCCCUUUUCCCAAUCUCCAAACAAUUUUCCUUUUCCCAAUUGACAAUUCUCUUCUACUGAUCCAUUCCCAAUUUCUCUCAAUCUUCUCAAGUAAACACAACAGCAACCCUCACGGCCUCACUCACUCUCUGUCUCAUCUACUCUUCACUCACAACCCUCUCUCACACAGCCACCCACCCACCGCCUCACUCCCUCACCUCACCCACACGGCCACCCAUGACCCACCGUCCCACCGCCUCACCCCUCCCUCACGAGUCACGGCCUCACUCACAGCUUCAGCGACACACACAAACACAACCCUCUUCACUUACAAGUCACAAAUCACAGAUUCAUAGACAGAGUCAAAGAGGUUUUACCUCUCAAAGAGAAAGAGACUUGCCACAGAGAAGGGAGCAAGCCACCAAUCGAUCAACAGCAGUCCACAGCAGUCCACAGACAGAGGUGAAGGAAGCAAGCAAUGAAGCAAUCAAUGGAGAGUGAAGGAGCAGUAAGCAUCGAUUGAUUAGGGAUUUAGGGUUACUUUUUCCCCUUUCUAUUUCUGAAGAGUAUAGUUUUAUGAUUAGGUCCCUGAAUUUUGCUCCUACCUUUCAAAUUUUGCCUAAUUACUCUUUUUUUUUUGCCCAAAAGCCUACCUGGUCCAAAGAAAUUUUUUUUUUUUUAUAAUGGAGCCCAGGCACAGGCCCGAGCACGCCAGGUGGUAGUUCCGCCUUUGAGUUAAAUCCUACACUACUAAGACCAUUCUAUACUUAAAUACCUAUGUCUAUAUGUAUACUUCUCUAAUGGAUAUCAGUAAGAAGGGAAAAAGAAUUACAAAACAAAUGGAAGUUGGAGGAGUCUUUUGAACGGAAAUUGUACGUGAAGCAGGAGGUGUAAUUAAGCUAGUAUGACAAGGAUCAAAAGAAAAAAAUAUGUGUCCAACUUACUUUCCACCACCAGCUAGCUUUAUGACUAAGGAUAGUAAGAAGUAUCUAAGCAUGGCACCUCAUGCUUAAUUUGUUGCAUGAUCAUUAAGAUCAUUCCAACUCUUGCAUGCUGCAUGCUUCCCACCUCAUGCUAGAUUUGCAUGCAUUACACCUCCUCCUUGCCGUAAUUGGACGUGGCACUCUUUGGCUCAUUUCCUUCACACUUAAGUUUUGAUGGAAGCCUAUAUAUAUAUCAACCUGAAUAGCUUUGAAAGAGAAGGACAGAAGCAAUUGAAAGUACACACGAGAGGAUACAAACACACACUUGUUUUGUGUGAUUUAUGUUUUGGUGAAAAUUUAUAAGUGUUUACUUUGAGUGUGAGAAGAUUCUUGAGUUUUGGAGCGGAAGUUAGGAUCUUGAAGCUUAGUAUUUUUUUAAAGCGAUUAAUUUUCUAAGGAUACGAAGUAUGAGAAUGUGUUCGUGUUGGAGUUGAAGAAUGGAAGGAAAGCGAGCCGUUACGAGGAGCGAUAAUGUGAUUGGAUCAAAAUCGCAACUUAGAAAGGAAGUAGCUAAGGUAAGGGUAACUCAGUAUAGAGUGUCUUUGAGUCUUGUCUGCUUCUAUCGCACUGCCUGCGUUUGAGAUGAAGACGUUUAUAUUGAUUGACAUUUGAUUUGGAUUAUUGUGCUGAACUGGGAAAAUGUUUUCUGGAGGCUUCGGCCGAGUGAACUUAUUGAGACGUGUGUCUCCGUUUUCUAAGAGGCUUCGGCCGUUUACUGGUUUCUGUCAUUACUGCUUUCUAUGUUGUUAUCGAUCUGAUGUAGUAUGCUUGUUGAAAUUAUGAAUAACAUGUGGUUACUCUGACUUGACCCUUGGUUCGGGAAUUGUUAUUGACUGACUUGGCAUAUAGAGCUUAAAUUCAGUGGCGUUCAGGAUGUGUGAUCCUAUGAUUGUCCCGUCUUGCGUGACGCUUAAGUGGCGAUCAGGAGGUGUGGUCCUAUGAUUGUCCCGUCUUGUGUGACGCUUAAGUGGCGAUCAGGAGGUGUGGUCCUAUGAUUGUCCCGUCAUGUAUGAAGCUAUAAGUGGCGAUGAAGAGGUGUGGUCCUAUCAUUGUCCCGUCUUGCGAGACGUUUUGAUCGAUCCAUUUUUUGUAGAGGCAUAUAGUUGUAUUAUAGGGAACUAACAUCUGACCCUAUGUUGUUGAAUUAAACUGUGAUUUUAAUUACCAUGUUUUGUAAUUGAAUUUCAAUAGCAUGCUUUUCUCUUUUAUAUGUGGUAAUUGCAUGGAGUUAACCCUUUCUGUUUGCUACUUGUUGUUUGGGCGCUUAACGCUAUUAGGCGGUGAGGAGCCUUCCGGCGAUACUUAGUCAUGUACGAGAUGGAGGAGAGAUAGUAAGCGACGAAGUAGAAAUGGAAGAAGUUGUUUAGUUUUCCCUUAGUAGGUUAUGCUUUGAGUCUUCUUCAUCUUCUGAAACUCUAUUACUAAAACCAUGUUUUCGCCACUGUUUAAGUUUGCGUACUUAUUUUGGAACCCUGCUUAUGUUAUUGUAAGUCACUAUUAUUAUAUGUCGGGAACGAGAUGUUUAAUUAAGGCUACAUUAUGUUUCAAACUCUGGUUGACAUGUUUAGUUUGUGCUUUUUUUAAAAAAAAUAUAUAUCAUGUUUUCUUUAGGAUUGCGAAAUAGUCCAUAGACUUUGUUAGGUUACUAAUGUGAUUCCUCAGUUGAGAAAUUGGGGCGUUACAUACUACUUAUAAAAAAGGACAGAGAAAAUUUGAAGGACACACUAACUAUCUGCCAAACCAAUUGUAUAUGAUCGUGUUCAAACAAAUUUCAAGCACAAAUCAAAUCAAUUCUAUCUCUGAAAUGCCAAAGAACACGAGGAGAGAGAUUUCUGGAUCUGGGUUUUAGAUCUAGGUCUUCUUGGUUUCAUUGCAGAUCUAGGGUUACAGUGGGAGUUAACUAGAAGAAGAAGGAGAACGAGAAGCGAGGGAGCAGAGUGAUCUGGAAUUGCAAAGCCCCUCUCCCUCCUUUGGUGACCUUAAAGAUGAAGAAGAUGAAAUUAAUUAGUUACAGUUUUGUUUUUAGUUUUUUAAAUAAAAAUAAAUUCCACGUCAGCUCAUUAAACUUACGUGGCCAUGCCACAUGGGCCAUCGGAGCUCCGGCGUUGACCCAGAGCUCCGGAGGGACCAGAACCAAAUCUUGUGGCAAAGGUUAGGGACUAAAACUCACCUUUGCUCAGGCGAGAGACGAAAAUCAAGCAUUUGGUAAAGGUGUCUUCGUCCUCCUCCAUUGCCAUAGCAUCAAAGGAAGCCAAACCCAACAUGCUGACUUACUUUGUGAGUGAAGCGAACCAGUACCUCUGUGCUAGAUCGGCGGCGCGGUGGGAGUGGGUCGUGAGUCGAACCCAGAUCUAAAUGGAAGAAUGAAUUAAACCUAGAUCUGAAACCACAGAUGCAGUUACUUCUCCUUGAACAAGUUCAGUUUUUGAAGGUGCAGGACGAUAUUUGUUACCAUGGAAGCCAGAUCUGAAACCACCAUGUAUGUUUUGAUCUUGCUGUUGAACCCAACCGGAGACGCCAGAUGAAUGACCAUCUCAGUGUUCUAAGGUCCCUCAUGUUUCGGAUUCUUUGUGUCUCUGGUUCCGAUGAUGCUGGACAUUAAUCACUGAAGUAAAAUGUUUGUAAAUAUGUUUUGAAGAGCUGUAAAGUUAGAACUUGUAUUCUUUUUGAAUUUUUGUGGCUUAAAGUUUUUUUUUCUUUUUACAUUUUAUAGCCAUGGAGAUAGCUGAUGGUUGGAAAUAAGAGUUUUGAAAUGAUGUGAACAUGAGAUUAUGGUAUAACGGUGAUUUUUAUAGCCAUGAAUCGAACCCAUAAGUUUUGACUCUUUCAUAUAA